ACCUUCUUCAUAAGUUAAGAAAAACUUCUAUAAAAAAAUUGGUAUAGAGCAUCUGAACAAUUUUGUUUCAACUUUGUACGACCAUUGAUCUCAUGUUCAUUUAUUUGGCUGAUUGUUUUGCUAGUCUCACCUUUGAGACCAUUUAUCUAGGGAAACCUUACAUUAAAAUAAAGCAGAUGUACGAGAUGAAGGAAGAGCUGGGAAGAGGCAAAUUUGGGGUGACUAAUCUGUGUGUAGAGAAAGCCACAGGACGAGCGUAUGCAUGCAAAUCCAUAGCAAAGAAGAAGCCGCAAAAAGUGGAGGAUGUUAGAAGAGAGGUCAUGAUUCUGCAGCAUCUUUCAGAGCAGCAUAACAUAGUGGAAUUCAAGGGAGCUUAUGAGGACGGGAAGAACAUGCACCUUGUCAUGGAGCUAUGCAGUGGGGAGGGAACUACUCGGAGCCUGAAGCCACCACAAUCAUCAGACAGAUUGUGAAUGUGGUUCACGUCUGCCAUUUCAUGGGUGUGAUGCAUCGAGACCUCAAGCCGGAGAAUUUCUUGUUCGCCACCAAGUCGAGUGUUAUGAAUCAGCCCAAGGUGGAGUAAUUCAGCACAGAGCAAUCCAACACCGAAGAAGAAACA